rnacentral:rRNA from 1 species
UACGGGGGGGGGCAAGCGUUGUUCGGAAUUACUGGGCGUAAAGGGGCUCGUAGGCGGCCCAAACUAAGUCAGACGUGAAAAUCCCCUCGGGCUUUAAACCCGGGGGAACUGCGUCUGAUACUGGGAUGGCUUUGAGUUUUGGGGAGAGGGGAUGCGGGAAAUUUCCCAGGUGUAGCGGGUGAAAAUGCGCGAUAUCGAGGGAGAACCG